GAGAGCAGAGUCCAGCCCCCGAAUUCUCAGGUGUUUUCAUUCGGUGAUCAGCACCAAACACAGAAGACUCACCAUGGAGUUUGUGCUGAGCUGGGUUUUCCUUGUUGCUAUUUUAAAAGGUGUCCAGUGUGAGGUGCAGCUGGUGGAGUCUGGGGGAGGCUUGGUCCAGCCUGGGGGGUCCCUGAGACUCUCCUGUGCAGCCUCUGGAUUCACCUUCAGUGACCACUACAUGGACUGGGUCCGCCAGGCUCCAGGGAAGGGCCUGGAGUGGGUUGGCCGUAUUAGAAACAAAGCUAACAGUCACACGACAGAAUACGCCGCGUCUGUGAAAGGCAGAUUCACCAUCUCAAGGGAUGAUUCAAAGAACACACUGUACCUGCAAAUGAGCGGCCUGAAAACCGAGGACACGGCCGUGUAUUACUGUGCUAG